GACGAACGCUGGCGGCGUGCUUAACACAUGCAAGUCGAGCGGUAAGGCCUUUCGGGGUACACGAGCGGCGAACGGGUGAGUAACACGUGGGUGAUCUGCCCUGCACUUCGGGAUAAGCCUGGGAAACUGGGUCUAAUACCGGAUAUGACCUCCUAUCGCAUGGUGGGUGGGGGAAAGAUUUAUCGGUGCCGGAUGGGCCCGCGGCCUAUCAGCUUGUUGGUGGGGUAAUGGCCUACCAAGGCGACGACGGGUAGCCGACCUGAGAGGGUGACCGGCCACACUGGGACUGAGACACGGCCCAGACUCCUACGGGAGGCAGCAGUGGGGAAUAUUGCACAAUGGGCGAAAGCCUGAUGCAGCGACGCCGCGUGAGGGAUGACGGCCUUCGGGUUGUAAACCUCUUUCAGCAGGGACGAAGCGCAAGUGACGGUACCUGCAGAAGAAGCACCGGCUAACUACGUG
rnacentral:rRNA from 1 species